UGCCCGUUACGAAUACUUGGUCCAGCUGAUAAGGAAAGCCCAUAAGGGUUUUAAACUUUCACUCCCCUUAGCCGUCAAACCCCUUCCACUCAUCCUGUCUCUCUCCUCCUCAUUCAUUCUCUCUCUCUUCUCGUCACUCAAACUGAAACAGCAAUUCACCACCCUUCUCAAAAUCUUCUUCUUCUCCAACUCUCCCACUAAAAACCCCAAUUCCCAAAUUUCCCCUCUUUCUCUCUCCUCCGAAUUGCAUCAACGGCAGGCGAUGGACCCAAUUUGGAAGGUCGGAUGUUCAAGUCUCGUUACCUAGAAAUGGACAUGGCGAUGAUGUCAUGAUGAUGAUUCAGGUGAAGAAAUCGCUGAUAUGUGUGGGAUUUGGGAUCUCAGUCACUAGUGGAAGGUUAUUCUAAAGACUGGAUUGGUGUUAAUAUUGAUAAUGAAGAAUUGAAGGUCGUAGAAAUGAUGGUUUCAUUAAUGGUUUUGUGGUUUUUUCAUUCUUUCUCAGUGGACCCAGAGAAGAUGCAACCAGAAUUGGUUCUCCUGGUGUUGUUAGGCGUCAAGCUGUUGAUAUCUCUCCACUAAGGCGUGUUAAUCUGGAAAUCUAUCUUCUUACUACUGGAGCUCAUGAGAGUGCUUUCAUGAACAUCAAGACCAUUGCCGAGGGCCUUGGUGAUGAACUCAUCAAUGCCGCCAAGGGUUCAUCCAACAAGUAAUUUCACUCUACCCGUAACCACUGUUGAUGAAUUAAAAAAAUCAUUAAUGUUGCUACUUGGGCUUUAGUCAAUAAGAUGUCUGUUUUGAUGAAUGCUCUAUAGUUAGCUGUGUAUGCUCGUUGAUGUAUGUGUGGGAAACUGACUAGCUGUACAGUUUUUCACAUGCUGAAUUCAAUGUUGAAAUGUCAUUGUUUGAAAACUGUAGUAUUUAAUUGUAUGUAUUCUAGCUUGAAUUAGUAGGGAACUAGGCAGUAGGGAUAGAUCAAGGUGCUAGGCUGCAUUAUUUCUUAUUGGACUGGUUUCAUGUAACGUCGUAAUUCUUAAGUAAUUGCUUCAUGAGCCAUGUAUUAAUGCUACGAGUAUAAGAUUAUAUGGUAAAUUUACUCUA